rnacentral:rRNA from 1 species
UCCGGUUGAUCCUGCCGGACCUGACUGCUAUUUGGGUGAGGAUAAGCCAUGCGAGUCGAAUGGGAUACCUAAAUUUCCCAUGGCGAACUGCUCAGUAACACAUGAUCAACUUACCCUAUUGAGAAAGAUAACCUCGGGAAACUGAGGAUAAUAUUUCAUAGUUGAAUUGGCUUGGAAAAGUUUUUCAACAAAAGGGAUAGGGAAAAUGGUCUCUAUCCGCUAUAGGAUAGGAUCGUGUUCGAUUAUGGUAGUUGGUGAGGUAAAGGCUCACCAAGCCGAUAAUCGAUAGGGGCCGUGAGAGCAGGAGCCCCGAGAUGGGUACUGAGACAACGACCCAGGCCUUACGAGGCGCAGCAGGUACGAAACCUCCACAAUACACGAAAGUGUGAUGGGGUCACCCAAAGUGUUCAUUAUUGAACUGUGGUAGGAGAGUAAUGUCCCCUACUAGAAAGGAGAGGGCAAGGCUGGGGCCGGCCGCCGCGGUAAAACCAGCUCUUCAAGUGGUCGGGAUAAUUAUUGGGCUUAAAGUGUCCGUAGCCGGUUUAGUAAGUUCCUGGUAAAAUCGGGUAGCUUAACUAUCUGUAUGCUAGGAAUACUACUAUACUAGAGGGCGGGAGAGGUCUGAGGUACUACAGGGGUAGGGGUGAAAUCUUAUAAUCCUUGUAGGACCACCAGUGGCGAAGGCGUCAGACUGGAACGCGCCUGACGGUGAAGGACGAAAGCCAGGGGAGCGAACCGGAUUAGAUACCCGGGUAGUCCUGGCUGUAAACGAUGCAUACUAGGUGAUGGUACGGCUAUGAGCCAUAUCAGUGCCGUAGGGAAACCGUUAAGUGUGCCGCCUGGGAAGUACGGUCGCAAGGCUGAAACUUAAAGGAAUUGGCGGGAAGGGCGAA